UUUUUUACACCAGCCAUUAAUUCGCUUCGACGAGUUAUGUAUUUGAAUUUAAUUCCAUCGGUUUCCGUAUGAAAAUUAUAGUUAAAUGAGGUACGAUCACGAUACGAAUACUGUAGGAUGAGUGGCUGAGCGUGAGAUAGUAGUAUACGUGUUCCAUGCAUUGCACGGUAGCAAAAUGGGAAUUUUAAUUCCAUAUCACGUGAUCACAAUCGGGAAUUUAGGGACUGAUUACUUGCAUAGAGAGUUUUCAAUCCGGACUGAGUUUCAUCCCGGUUUCCCGGGCUGAAAUUUCAGCCCGGUCCAAGGAUAAAAUCCUAUUAAAACACAGCAAGCGAUCA